GAAGCUUGCUUCAAAAGAAAAAUAGAAAGAAACGAAAAAAAAACAAUUGGAGCUCUCCCUUCAAGACGUUGCACCAUAGCAUUCAAGGGUAAACUCAAAAGGAAAGAGAGAAAAAAAAAACGUUCCAGACUUUAAAAAAAAAAAUUAAAAAGGAAAACCUACGUGAAUCACAUUCCUCGUCAUCCAAAAUCAAGAAAUAACAUCAACGUUGCUCCCAGAAAACGUUGCAGCAGACUGUGCUAAUAGAGAAUGACGGCUCCACACCUUUCCCUAGGGCCCAUGUGUCCUCUAAAAUGAGGUGGGUUCGACCCCUCUGCAAAACCCUAGGUGCCAUGUCAUGUUUCCUAAAUGGGCUCAAACUAUUUUGCCAAAAAUUGGCCCAAUGUUUACAAAUUUAAUUAAAAACUAUCUAAACUACUAAUUUCAAAAUAAUUAAAUUUGAAAUGUUUAUGACAAGAGUCUUGAAUUAUUUGGUGU
rnacentral:lncRNA from 1 species